rnacentral:rRNA from 1 species
GACGUAGGGUGCGAGCGUUGUCCGGAUUUAUUGGGCGUAAGGAGCUCGUAGGCGGCUCGUCGCGUCGACCGUGAAAACCCGCGGCUUAACUGCGGGCUUGCGGUUGAUACGGGCGGGCUAGAGUUCGGUAGGGGAGACUGGAAUUCCUGGUGUAGCGGUGAAAUGCGCAGAUAUCAGGAGGAACACCGGUGGCGAAGGCGGGUCUCUGGGCCGAUACUGACGCUGAGGAGCGAAAGCGUGGGGAGCGAACAGG